rnacentral:rRNA from 1 species
AGAGCGAACGCUGGCGGCAUGCUUAACACAUGCAAGUCGCACGGUCAGGUUUCGGCCUGGUAGUGGCGGACGGGUGAGUAACGCGUAGGUAUCUAUCCGAAGGUGGGGGAUAACGGCGGGAAACUGCUGCUAAUACCGCAUAUGACCUGAGGGUCAAAGGUCGCAAGACCGCCUGUGGAGGAGCCUGCGUACGAUUAGCUUGUUGGUGGGGUAAAGGCCUACCAAGGCGACGAUCGUUAGCUGGUCUGAGAGGAUGAUCAGCCACAUUGGGACUGAGACACGGCCCAAACUCCUACGGGAGGCAGCAGUGAGGAAUUUUCGUCAAUGGGGGCAACCCUGAACGAGCAACGCCGCGUGCAGGAUGACGCUUUUCGGAGUGUAAACUGCUUUUCUCGGGGAAGAGCAAGGACGGUACCCGAGGAAUCAGCCCCGGCUAACUACGUGCCAGCAGCCGC